GUUGAAUGGAGAGAGUCCGUGUACAACCUUCACGUAAGCUCAAAUUGGACAGGGGAAAAGCACUUAUUCAGAGAAGCUCUUGUGACGCGUUUGGAUUCUUGGAUUCCGGCGCCUUCAACCACUGCGUUCACGAGGAUUUAGCACAAGCCGGGAGAAACGAUCAACUCCAACACAACAAUGCGUUAUCCUUCUCACAGAAUUGACUUCAACGAUUAUUACGAUUCAAGGAUUCAAGAACUCGCGGUGUUAAGCAAUCCACCAUGGUUCGCGAUGUUCGAUCUUUAUUGAUAGUUCAGAUACUCGAAGAUCCGCGAUUCAUCUCACUCCAUUAUCGUAUGUGCGGAUGGAAGAAAAACCACAUCGAAAUCGGAUCGGAAAAACUUACCAGAUUAAAGCUCCAAUUACAAUUAGCUUCUCACCAAUUCCGUUACGAGUUGCGAGCUUCUACGGAUUUUGUUGAAGAUUCUUGGUGGAUGAUGAAGGCCUCGCUCGCAUCUCCGCUUUGAGAUGAAGACGAAGACGUAAUACCGGUAUUGCCGAUCGAAAUGAAGAAGAAGUCUCUUGGAUCGAUCUUUGGCGGUUCGGUUGUGAUGAUGAUAAAUUAAUGUGGAAGAAUUGAAGAGUGAAGAUUGGAAGCGGUUGAAGGUUUCGGUGAACGGAGAUUACGGUUACGGUUACGGAUUCGUAGUGGUUGAAGGCUUGGCUAUGGAGUUUUGGAGUUUUUGAUGAAGGUGAUUGUGAAUUGAAAAAAAACGGUUACGGUUACGGUGGUUGAAGGUUUUGGUUGAAGGAUUGGAAGAGUUUGUGAUGAAGUUUGGAAGAAGAAGAUUGGGAGAGAGGAAGAAAUGAGAUUGAGUCUGUUAUGUGGAAAAAUCUGGAAGUGUAGUGAGGUGAAGGUUUUGGUUGAAGGAUUGGAAGAGUUUGUGAUGAAGUUUGGAAGAAGAAGAUUGGGAGAGAGGAAGAAAUGAGAUUGAGUCUGUUAUGUGGAAAAAUCUGGAAGUGUAGUGAGUUUGAAUAGCAGCUUGAAGUGUAGCUUGGUUUUGAUGCCUUGGCUUGGCUUGGCAGUUAUUGUGCAGGAUUUUGUUUUUGGAUUUAUGCAGAAUUUUAUAGCAGAAUUUUUAUAUGCAUUUUAUGCAGAAUUUUUGAUGUGUUGCUGAAUUUUGAUGUGUUGCUGUUAAAUGCAAUGCAGAAUUUUUAAUGCAGAAUUUUGUUCAUUUGUAAUGCAGAAUUUUUAAUGCAUUUUAGUUUUAUACAAAUGGAUAUGGGUAUGAUUGGAUAAUGGCAAUUGAUUUUAUUAAUUGGAAUAAUAAAAUGAAA